UACGGGAGGCAGCAGUGGGGAAUAUUGCACAAUGGGGGAAACCCUGAUGCAGCGACGCCGCGUGAGCGAAGAAGUAUUUCGGUAUGUAAAGCUCUAUCAGCAGGGAAGAAAAUGACGGUACCUGACUAAGAAGCCCCGGCUAACUACGUGCCAGCAGCCGCGGUAAUACGUAGGGGGCAAGCGUUAUCCGGAUUUACUGGGUGUAAAGGGAGCGUAGACGGAGCAGCAAGUCUGAUGUGAAANNCCGGGGCUCAACCCCGGGACUGCAUUGGAAACUGUUGAUCUGGAGUGCCGGAGAGGUAAGCGGAAUUCCUAGUGUAGCGGUGAAAUGCGUAGAUAUUAGGAGGAACACCAGUGGCGAAGGCGGCUUACUGGACGGUAACUGACGUUGAGGCUCGAAAGCGUGGGGAGCAAACAGGAUUAGAUACCCUGGUAGUCCACGCCGUAAACGAUGACUACUAGGUGUCGGGUGGCAAAGCNNUUCGGUGCCGCAGCCAACGCAAUAAGUAUUCCACCUGGGGAGUACGUUCGCAAGAAUGAAACUCAAAGGAAUUUGACGG
rnacentral:rRNA from 1 species